rnacentral:rRNA from 1 species
GAUGAACGCUAGCUACAGGCUUAACACAUGCAAGUCGAGGGGCAGCAUGAUUGAAGCUUGCUUCAAUUGAUGGCGACCGGCGCACGGGUGAGUAACACGUAUCCAACCUUCCGUACACUCAGGGAUAGCCUUUCGAAAGAAAGAUUAAUACCUGAUGGUAUCUUAAGCACACAUGUAAUUAAGAUUAAAGAUUUAUCGGUGUACGAUGGGGAUGCGUUCCAUUAGGUAGUAGGCGGGGUAACGGCCCACCUAGCCUACGAUGGAUAGGGGUUCUGAGAGGAAGGUCCCCCCACAUUGGAACUGAGACACGGUCCAAACUCCUACGGGAGGCAGCAGUGAGGGAAUAUUGGUCAAUGGACGAGAGUCUGAACCAGCCAAGUAGCGUGAAGGAUGAAGGUCCUACGGAUUGUAAACUUCUUUUAUAAGGGAUAAAGUGAGUCUCGUGAGACUUUUUGCAUGUACCUUAUGAAUAAGGACCGGCUAAUUCCGUGCCAGCAG